rnacentral:rRNA from 1 species
GACGAACGCUGGCGGCGUGCCUAAUACAUGCAAGUAGAACGCACAGUUUAUACCGUAGCUUGCUACACCAUAGACUGUGAGUUGCGAACGGGUGAGUAACGCGUAGGUAACCUGCCUGGUAGCGGGGGAUAACUAUUGGAAACGAUAGCUAAUACCGCAUCAUAUUGAUUAUUGCAUGAUAAUUGAUUGAAAGAUGCUAUUGCAUCACUACCAGAUGGACCUGCGUUGUAUUAGCUAGUAGGUGAGGUAACGGCUCACCUAGGCGACGAUACAUAGCCGACCUGAGAGGGUGAUCGGCCACACUGGGACUGAGACACGGCCCAGACUCCUACGGGAGGCAGCAGUAGGGAAUCUUCGGCAAUGGACGAAAGUCUGAACGAGCAACGCCGCGUGAGUGAAGAAGGGUUUCGGAUCGUAAAGCUCUGUUGUAAGAGAAGAACGGGUGUGAGAGUGGAAAGUUCACACUGUGACGGUAUCUUACCAGAAAGGGACGGCUAACUACGUG